AGGAGGGACUAUAACCUCAAAUACAAGAUGAGAAAGAACUACCACAUGCAAGUGUUUUUCCAGAUUUGGCCACAAGGGGGCUAUAAACAAUAACCUGCAAAUCGUGCCCUCUAAAACCUCUCAUCUGGACACCUUUGCCAUGAUUUUUGUCAACUCUUCCAGUUUCCCCACUCCAAGAUACAGAAACUUGUUCCUGACCCAAGUAGGAAGACUGACUGGAUACCUUCUAUGGACAGAUGUGAAGAUGACCAUAUACCAACUCACAGGACCAAUUUAAGAAUUUCAUUAAAGGCCACCUGGGUGGCCCAGUCAGUUAGGCAUCCAGCUUCAGCUCAGGUCAUGAUCUCUCCAUUCCCGAAUUUGAGCCCUGCAUCGGGCUCUGUGCUGAUAGCUCAGAGCCUGGAGCCUGUUUCAGAUUCUGUGUCUCCCUCUCUGUCUCUGCCCCGACCUUGCUCAUGCUCUGUCUCUUUCUGUCUCAAAAAUAA